rnacentral:misc_RNA from 1 species
UUGAAUGAAUGUAGAGUUGGUUGUGCUGGCCCCUUGGGGCAUGUGCACGCCUUCUCUUUCAUCCACACACACCUGUGCACUUGUGAGACGGAAGCCUUUCGGGGAGUCCGUCUGCUCCACAUAAACUCAUAUAUUUAAAACGAAUGUAAUUGAUGUAACACAUCUUUAAAC